AGCGAACGCUGGCGGCAGGCCUAACACAUGCAAGUCGAACGAACCUUUCGGGGUUAGUGGCGGACGGGUGAGUAACACGUGGGAACGUGCCUUUAGGUUCGGAAUAACUCAGGGAAACUUGUGCUAAUACCGAAUGUGCCCUUCGGGGGAAAGAUUUAUCGCCUUUAGAGCGGCCCGCGUCUGAUUAGCUAGUUGGUUGAGGUAAUGGCUCACCAAGGCGACGAUCAGUAGCUGGUCUGAGAGGAUGAUCAGCCACAUUGGGACUGAGACACGGCCCAAACUCCUACGGGAGGCAGCAGUGGGGAAUCUUGCGCAAUGGGCGAAAGCCUGACGCAGCCAUGCCGCGUGAAUGAUGAAGGUCUUAGGAUUGUAAAAUUCUUUCACCGGGGACGAUAAUGACGGUACCCGGAGAAGAGGCCCCGGCUAACUUCG
rnacentral:rRNA from 1 species